AUACGGAGGGUGCAAGCGUUACUCGGAAUCACUGGGCGUAAAGCGCGCGCAGGCGGCUAUUUAAGUUAGAAGUGAAAGCCUACGGCUCAACCGUAGAACUGCAUCCAAAACUGUCAGUCUAGAGUCUGGGAGGGGAAGAUGGAAUUAGUUGUGUAGGGGUAAAAUCCGUAGUGAUAACUAGGAAUACCAAAAGCGAAGGCGAUCUUCUGGAACAGUACUGACGCUGAGGCGCGAAAGCGUGGGGAGCAAACAGGAUUAGAAACCCUGGUAGUCC
rnacentral:rRNA from 1 species